rnacentral:rRNA from 1 species
UACGGGGGGGGCAAGCGUUGUUCGGAAUUACUGGGCGUAAAGGGCUCGUAGGUGGCCAACUCAGUCGGACGUGAAAUCCCUCGGCUUAACCGGGGAACUGCGUCCGAUACUGGAUGGCUUGAGAUCGGGAGAGGGAUGCGGAAUUCCAGGUGUAGCGGUGAAAUGCGUAGAUAUCUGGAGGAACACCGGUGGCGAAGGCGGCAUCCUGGACCGGUAUUGACGCUGAGGCGCGAAAGCUAGGGGAGCAAACGGG